rnacentral:rRNA from 1 species
ACUAACAGGAUUCCCCUAGUAACUGCGAGUGAAGCGGGAAAAGCUCAAAUUUAAAAUCUGGCGGUCUCUGGCCGUCCGAGUUGUAAUCUAGAGAAGUAAUGCCCGUGCUGGACCGUGUAUAAGUCUCCUGGGAUGGGGCGUCAUAGAGGGUGAGAAUCCCGUCUUUGACACGGACUACCAGUGCAUUGUGGUAUGCUCUCAAAGAGUCGAGUUGUUUGGGAAUGCAGCUCAAAAUGGGUGGUAAAUUCCAUCUAAAGCUAAAUAUUGGCGAGAGACCGAUAGCGAACAAGUACCGUGAGGGAAAGAUGAAAAGAACUUUGGAAAGAGAGUUAAACAGUACGUGAAAUUGCUGAAAGGGAAACGCUUGAAGUCAGUCGCGUUGGCCGGGGAUCAGCCUUGCUUUUGCAUGGUGUACUUUCUGGUUGACGGGUCAGCAUCAAUUUUGACCGCUGGAAAAAGACCUGGGGAAUGUGGCAGCUUCGGCUGUGUUAUAGCCCCUAGUCGCAUACAGUGGUUGGGAUUGAGGAACUCAGCACGCCGCAAGGCCGGGUUUCGACCACGUUCGUGCUUAGGAUGCUGGCAUAAUGGCUUUAAGCGACCCGUCUUGAAACACGGACCAAGGAGUCUAACAUGCCUGCGAGUAUUUGGGUGGAAAACCCAAGUGCGUAAUGAAAGUGAAAGUUGAGAUCCCUGUCGUGGGGAGCAUCGACGCCCGGACCAGAACUUUUGGGACGGAUCCGCGGUGGAGCAUGUAUGUUGGGACCCGAAAGAUGGUGAACUAUGCCUGAAUAGGGUGAAGCCAGAGGAAACUCUGGUGGAGGCUCGUAGCGAUUCUGACGUGCAAAUCGAUCGUCAAAUUUGGGUAUAGG